rnacentral:rRNA from 1 species
GACGAACGCUGGCGGCGUGCUUAACACAUGCAAGUCGAACGGAAAGGCCCUGCUUGCAGGGUACUCGAGCGGCGAACGGGUGAGUAACACGUGGGUGAUCUGCUCUUCACUUCGGGAUAAGCCUGGGAAACUGGGUCUAUUACCGGUUAGGAGCCAUUUUUAGUGUGAUGGUUGGAAAGUUUUUUUGGGUGUAGGUUGAGCUCGCGGCCUAUCAGCUUGUUGUGGGGGUAAUGGCUUACCAAGGCGGCGUCGGGUAGCCGGCCUGAGAGGUUGUACGUCGACACUGGGACUGAGGUGAGGCCCAGACUCCUAAGGGAGGCAGCAGGGGGGAAGAUUGAACAAUGGGCGCAAGCAUGAUGAAGCGACGCCGCGUGGGGGAUGACGGCCUUCGGGUGGUAAACUCCUUGCGAGAGGGAAGAAGCUUGUUGUGACGGUACCUAGAUAAGAAGCACCGGCUAACUACGUG